GUCAACCCAAAACAAAAGGUCAGGAAUGUCUAUAGUUCCUGACCCCUGACUUUUUAUACCUGCCUCCGGCCUCCUCAUUUACUUUUGGCUGUGUCUCGUAUGUGGCCCUGAAUGCAAAUCCCUGACCUGCCUCUGCUAAGAGUAGCCCUUGUCAUCACCUACAGUGGAUGAGCUUCUUCAGUGUGCAAGGCCUUCGCUUUGAUCAGUCCAUGUCCUCAGCAAACUGAAGGGGGCGCAGCUCUUAGAACCCAGCGUGCUAAGCUCUGCUCUGUGUCCCUUUCCUUCGUCAUGGGGAUAAAACCAGGCCCUGCAGCUCCAGGUGGACAAGGUACUUACAGCUCAGAAGAGGAGAGCGAGGAUAAGCUCCCAAGGCCCCUCAGAGCUAGGUACCUUCUAUUUCAUCCUCAUUUUACAAGUGAGAGUACAGCGCUGCUGGAUUAAGUGAUUUCCCAAAGGACAGCUGAACUUUCUGAAAGAAGUUGCCUGCUGUGCCUAAUGGAGUUUACUCUGGCCCCUUCACAGACUUAUCCUAUCUUCCCUGCACAUUCCCCAAAG